CCGGAGCGGAGCCGCUGUUCUCAGCUGCAGCAGGAGCUGCCCCCGGCCCCGCUGGGCUCCAGGCUGCAGGAUGUCGUCCAUGUUUCGCUCCAGCUCGUCCCAUCCUCCCAUGGGACAGGGAAGGGAAAUGACUGCAGUGGAGCCGGCUCAGAGGCCGGUGACCUUCGAGGAGGUGGCUGUGUAUUUCACCAGGGAAGAGUGGGCUCUGCUG